AGAAAAAAACAAGAUGCUACAAAUUUACCUCUUACUGCUGCAAAAAAUAAUAUUCACAAUGUGUUGAAGUCACUACAAUAUUUUCUUUUUACUUCAACAAGUACAUGUCAAACAUCAACAGUC